GGUCGCGUGGUCUAAUGGUUAUGAUAUCUCGUUCACAUCCAAGUGAGCGUCUCCUGGUUCUCCAGUGGUUCCGAGAUGGUUCCCGGUUCGAUCCCGGGCGCGACCA
rnacentral:tRNA from 1 species